AUUUUCUUGUGUGAAAACUCAUUUUUCAUUGAUAACUUCACCAUUAUUAUAUGAAGGGGAGCCUUGAGGCAAGAGUAAAGUUGUGCUCGUGUGAGCUAUAGUUGACGGGUUCGAGCCAUGCAAUCAGUCAUUGAUGUUUGCAUCAGGGUAGACUGCCUACAUUACACCCCUUGGGGUACGACCCUUCCCUGGACCCUACGUGAGUGCGAGAUGCUUCGCGCCCCGAACUAUCCUUUUUAUCUGCACCAUUUUUCUUCAAAGUUACUCUUACUAGUUGCUUACUUGUUACUUGAAACCUGAUUGAUCUAUUUAUUGAGAAGUGACUCAGAAGAUAUCUAAAGUCUUAUAGCUUCUAAGUUCUAACAACCAAUUGUCUUUCUUUGCAGCUUCCAGCUCUUGUCAAUGAUAUGCAAAUGCUGAGUACUGAGUAGAUGGAAAGAAUAUGCACCUCAAGCUUUGAAAGGUGCAAUGACAAAUGUAUUAUUUACUUACACUUCUUGUGAAGUCAAGGUAAUCAAGUUUGGUCUAUGUAUAAGAACAUAUGAUCCAGAUUCCACAGAUGUAUCAUUCUAUAAUUAAAAAGUUGCAUUAUAUUAGUUGAUGUAUAUUCCUUUACUCUACUCCCUCCCCCUCCCCGCGAUAUGUUCCACAGCGGAUGCAAUAUGUUUCGCUAGUUUAACUGAACCUAUUAUUUUUAAAUUUUUAACACGGAACGCAAU
rnacentral:lncRNA from 1 species